rnacentral:rRNA from 1 species
CGUAGGUGGCAAGCGUUGUCCGGAAUUAUUGGGCGUAAAGCGCGCGCAGGCGGUCCUUUAAGUCUGAUGUGAAAGCCCACGGCUCAACCGUGGAGGGUCAUUGGAAACUGGGGGACUUGAGUACAGAAGAGAAGAGUGGAAUUCCACGUGUAGCGGUGAAAUGCGUAGAGAUGUGGAGGAACACCAGUGGCGAAGGCGACUCUUUGGUCUGUAACUGACGCUGAGGCGCGAAAGCGUGGGGAGCAAACAGGAUUAGAUACCCUGGUAGUCCACGCUGUAAACGAUGAGUGCUAAGUGUUAGAGGGUUUCCGCCCUUUAGUGCUGCAGCUAACGCGUUAAGCACUCCGCCUGGGGAGUACGGCCGCAAGGCUG